GACGAACGCUGGCGGCGUGCUUAACACAUGCAAGUCGAACGGAAAGGCCUCUUUCGGGGGGUACUCGAGUGGCGAACGGGUGAGUAACACGUGAGUAACCUGCCCUUGACUUUGGGAUAACUUCAGGAAACUGGGGCUAAUACCGGAUAGGAGCUCCUGCUGCAUGGUGGGGGUUGGAAAGUUUCGGCGGUUGGGGAUGGACUCGCGGCUUAUCAGCUUGUUGGUGGGGUAGUGGCUUACCAAGGCUUUGACGGGUAGCCGGCCUGAGAGGGUGACCGGCCACAUUGGGACUGAGAUACGGCCCAGACUCCUACGGGAGGCAGCGGUGGGGAAUAUUGCACAAUGGGUGGAAGCCUGAUGCAGCAACGCCGUGUGCGGGAUGACGGCCUUCGGGUUGUAAACCGCUUUCGCUCAUGACGAAGCUUUGUGUGACGGUAGUGGGUAAAGAAGCACCGGCUAACUACGUG
rnacentral:rRNA from 1 species